UACGGAGGGGGCUAGCGUUGUUCGGAAUUACUGGGCGUAAAGCGCACGUAGGCGGCUUUGUAAGUUAGAGGUGAAGGCCCGGGGCUCAACUCCGGAAUUGCCUUUAAGACUGCAUCGCUAGAAUUGUGGAGAGGUAAGUGGAAUUCCGAGUGUAGAGGUGAAAUUCGUAGAUAUUCGGAAGAACACCAGUGGCGAAGGCGACUAACUGGACAUGUAUUGACGCUGAGGUGCGAAAGCGUGGGGAGCAAACAGG
rnacentral:rRNA from 1 species